CAGUAGCGAGGUGAAGUUCACCUGAAUUGAGCUGAAUAAAAAAAAUAUAAUUCACCUAGAAAAAAGGUAAAACCAAAUAAGGUAAAACUUACCUCGUAGCGGGGCGAAGUUGACCUGGAUUGAGCUAAACCAAACGGUACAAUUCAUCUCGAAAAAAUAACUAUUUGCCAAACACGUUUAUUGAGGUUAAGCUGUUUUGUCGUUCAGGAACAAGUUUUGCUUUAUGCCUAAUAUGUGAAAAUCGGAAUAGAAUGACCUUCCCUCGUUCAUCGGCCUUUCGCGCGUCUCAGCCAGUCGGGUACUCGGCCGCGAGGCAAACAGCAGUACGUCCAGGUAAAGGAAUUAUCCUAAUCGCGGUACCGGUUUUUCGGUAGACUCCGAAUCUGGUCCCACAUGUUUCAGAUCGGCCCAUAGAGCUUUGAGGUGUAUUCCACGUCAUCCUACAUCCGGAAAAGCCGAACCUGAUCGGAUUAGUCGAACGGAGGAGAUCUUGAAUGUACGCAACGCAGGAGGAUUCAGCGGCCAUGGCGGCUCAGAAGAACGCGAAGCCGAAUUACCAGUCCCUAUUUAUCUCCAAUAAAUAUCAUUUUUGAAAGAA